UACGUAGGGGGCAAGCGUUGUCCGGAAUCAUUGGGCGUAAAGCGCGUGUAGGCGGCCCGGUAAGUCCGCUGUGAAAGUCGGGGGCUCAACCCUCGGAUGCCGGUGGAUACUGUCGGGCUAGAGUGCGGGAGAGGCGAGUGGAAUCCCUGGUGUAGCGGUGAAAUGCGCAGAUAUCAGGAGGAACACCAAUUGCGAAGGCAGCUCGCUGGAACGUUACUGACGCUGAGACGCGAAAGCGUGGGGAGCAAACAGG
rnacentral:rRNA from 1 species